UGCGGCGACGUGGGCGGUUCGCUGCCCGCGACGUUGUGAGAAGUCCACUGAACCUUAUCAUUUAGAGGAAGGAGAAGUCGUAACAAGGUUUUCCGUAGGUGAACCUGCGGAAGGAUCAUUG
rnacentral:rRNA from 1 species